rnacentral:lncRNA from 1 species
CCAAGCUGGAGUGCAGUGGCGCAAUCUGGGCUCACUGCAACCUCCACCUCCCGGAUUCAAGCGAUUCUCCUGCCUCAGCCUCCUGAGUAGCUGGGACUACAGGCGCCCGCUAAUUUUUGUAUUUUUAGUAGAGACGGGGUUUCACCAUAUUGGUCAGGCUGGUCUUGAACUCCUGACUCAGGUGAUCCACCCGCCUCAGCCUCCCAAGGUGCUGGGAUUACAGGUGUGAGCCACCACGCCUGGCCGAAUUUUUAUUUGUUUUUUGUUUGUUUUUGUUUUUUUUAAAAAACUGAGUCUCGCACUGUUGUCCAGGCUGGAGUGCAGUGGCGCGAUCUCGGCUCACUGCAAGCUCCGCCUCCCAGGUUCACGCCAUUCUCCUGCCUCAGCCUCCCAAGUAGCUGGGACUACAGGCGCCCACCACCAAGCCCGGCUAAUUUUUUGGAUUUUUAGUAGAGACAGGGUUUCACUGUGUUAGCCAGGAUGGUCUCGCUCUCCUGACCUCGUGAUCCACCCGCCUCCCAAAGUGCUGAGAUUACAGGCGUGAGCCACCACACUCGGCCUCUUUGUUUGUUUUUUUUUUUUUUUGAGACAGUCUGGCUCUGUCACUGAGGCUGGAGUGCAGUGAUGCAACCUCAUCUCACUGCAGCCUAGACCUCCUGGGCUUAAGUGAUCCUCCCACCUCAGCCUCCCCAGACUACAGGUGCACACCACCACGCCCGGCUAAUUUUUGUAUUUUUUGUAGAGAUGGAGUUUCGCCAUGUUGCCCAGGAUGGCCUUGAACUCCAGGGCUCAAGCAAUCCACCCACCUCAACCUCCCAAAGUGCUGGGAUUACAGGCAUGAGCCAUUGUGCCCAGCUGCAAAUGAAUUUUUAAAAAUGUGUUAGAUCAAUAUUCAUAUCACCCAAAAACAGCCUGAGAGCCCGCCACCACUGGGGACUCAGCCUGAGCCUUGUUCCCAGAAAGCCCUCAACGCAGUGCUGGGCACAGACCUGGGAGGCUUGGCUCAAACCGCCCUGCCCUCCGUUGGCAGGGCAGAGCUCCGUCUUUUCCUCUCAACAGCUCUUCCAAAGGGCAAGGCAGCAUUUUCCUGGUGAGGGGCAAGCGAAGCUGAGGCCAGACCCACCCCCGAGUCUUCCCUCUGCCACAUCCAGGGCCUGAAGGGCGUUCUGGGGAGCCUCCACCUUCACACCGAAGGCCGCCAAGGUGGUUGGCAAGAAGCUGAAAUGGGCGUUUAAGUCCGAACCUUGUUUUCAAAGGUGCCCAUUGCCUGUUCUCAAAGCAAUGCACCUGAGAAGCAGUGGCAGGUGGCACAGCCCACCCCCAACCGCCAGGGCCACCCAAACACCAGUUACAACACCAUCACCAACAGAGCCUUUGCAGAACUUUUUUUUUUUUUUUUUUUUUUGAGACGGAGUCUUGCUCUGUCGCCCAGGCUGGAGUGCAAUGGUGUGAUCUUGGCUGACUGCAACCUCCGCCUCCCAAGUUCAAAUGAUUCUCCUACCUCAGCCUCCCAAGCAGCUGGGACUACAGGCACCCACCACCAUGCCCGGCUAAUUUUUCUAUUUUUAGUAGAGACAGGGUUUUGCCAUGUUGCCCAGGCUGGUCUCGAACUCCUGACCUCAGGUGAUCUGCCCACCUUGGCCUCCCAAAGUGCUGGGAUUACAGGCAUGAGCCACCACUCCUGGCCCUCUUGUAUUUUUUUGUAGAGACAGGGUUUUGCCAUGUUGCCCAGGCUGGUCUCCUGGGCUCAAGUGAUCCACCCACCUUGGUCUCCCAAAGUGCUAGGAUUAUGGGCCUGAGCCACCCCACCCGGCCCAACCUUAUUAUUACUGAAGUCGCCUUGUUACACACAAACAUCUACAGUGCCUCCUGGCCACUCCUUCUGGACUUUUCUUUCCUAGCCCAGGUCAAAGUGGGCCUUCGGGAGGACCCUGGAGGAGAAGCCCCCUCCUCUUCACUUCCACCCUCUCUCUUCCACCCCUGGAAGUCAGCUUUCUGACCUCAGAAUCCCAGCUAUCUUCUGGACUCAGGUGACAAGUCACCUAAGUGACAGAUCCAGCAUGCACUUUAUGACCAUCACUCUGCUCCUCCUGCAUCAGCGCCCCACCCAACAGAGCCGACCAGGCUGGGAACACCGAGACCGAGAGCGCGUGGCUGUGUCUACAAAGGCCUCCUCUUUGAGGGAGACACGCGAGGCACGGGUGGGGCGAUGAGACAGGAUCGGCCGGUCCUUGACAGUCUCUGAAGCUGGGAGAACAUGACCCCAUGCUCUCCUGUUGGAGUCACCACCUCUUUGCCAACAGCCACCAAACCUCCACCUCCAAUUAAGCUCCACCCCCAUGUCCCCACUGCCCUCCGGACAUCUGUUCAGCACCCCCCUCGACCUGGCCAAGGCUCCACGCACCGCCCUGGUUUCCCGCUCUGCCCAGCCCCCCGCUGAAGUCUCUAAUGGGUUCUUCCGAUUCCACCUGUCCAAGGUAAAACCCUGAGGUUGUCCCUCCUCCGCGGCACCUCCAGGUAUCUGGUUGCUCAGGCUGAAAUGUUUCCCAAGGCCCUGGCUCCUCCUCCUUCCAAACCCCGCAGGCAGCUGAUUAGCAAACUCUGACUCUAACCUCAAAACAUGUCCAGAAUUCAGCCACAUCUCCCCACUUCCCCGCCUGGCCCUGGGCCCCGCUAUUCCAUCUCAAUCUCUGCCCUGGCCCCCAGCCCAGCAUCCACUCUCAGACCAGAGCAAUGCUUGUGAACUCCGAAAAUCUGAGACAGGUCUCAGUUAAUUUAGAAAAGAUAUUUGUCAAGGUUGAGGACGCGCACCCAUGACACAGCCUCAGGAGGUCCUGACUGGGGGGAGAGAGACCCUCUCAUAUUGUUUUAUACUCAGUACCUGUUUUAAGAAAAAAACGAAGUGAAAUCAAAGACAGGCAGCCCGGCGCCAGGCCCAAAACCAGGCCUGGGCCUGCCUGGCCUAAACCUAGUCGUUAAAAAUCAGCUCAUGACUUAGAACCCGAUGUUACCCAUAGAUUUCAGGCAUUGUAUGGAAGAACAUCGUGAGACUCCCUGCUCUGUUCUGUUUCACUCUGACUACCAGUGCAUGAAACCCCUGUCACGUAUCCCCCAGACUGCUCAAUCAAUCACGACCCUUUCACGUAAAAUCUUUAGUGUUGUGAGCCCUUAAAAGGGACAGAAAUUGUGCACUUGGGGAGCUGGGAUUUUAAGAUGGUAACUUGCCGAUGCUCCCAGCUGAAUAAAGCCCUUCCUUCU